rnacentral:rRNA from 1 species
UACGUAGGGCGCAAGCGUUGUCCGGAAUUAUUGGGCGUAAAGAGCUCGUAGGCGGCUUGUCACGUCGAUUGUGAAAGCCCGAGGCUUAACCUCGGGUCUGCAGUCGAUACGGGCUAGCUAGAGUGUGGCAGGGGAGAUCGGAAUUCCUGGUGUAGCGGUGAAAUGCGCAGAUAUCAGGAGGAACACCGGUGGCGAAGGCGGGUCUCUGGGCCGAUACUGACGCUGAGGAGCGAAAGCGUGGGGAGCGAACAGG